UACGGGGGGAGCAAGCGUUGUUCGGAUUUACUGGGCGUAAAGGGCGCGUAGGCGGCCCACCGCAAGUCGACUGUGAAAUCUCCGGGCUUAACCCGGAAAGGUCAGCCGAUACUGCGGGGCUAGAGUGCAGAAGGGGCAACUGGAAUCUCGGUGUAGCGGUGAAAUGCGUAGAUAUCGAGAGGAACACCUGCGGCGAAGGCGGGUUGCUGGGCUGACACUGACGCUGAGGCGCGAAGCGUGGGAGCGAACAGG
rnacentral:rRNA from 1 species